CCGGCGAAUGCCUGUGUGACUACACCACUUUUAAUGGCCAGGUCGCGGGUUCGAGUCCCGCCCACGCUUAAAAUGGCGUGGUAGCUCAGUUGGGAGAGCAGGACUGUCACACAUACUCUUGUCGCCGAAGG
rnacentral:Y_RNA from 1 species